AAAAUAAACAAUGUGGUGACAUAGACUCAAUGCUGCUUGUCUAAGCAAAACCUAUGAUGUUGGGGGCUUGUCUUCUUGUUUAAAACCACAUGAUCCAACACACCUUCUUCUCCAAAUGGGGUUGCUCUUGAAAUCCCUCCUCUCUCCAUUGAAGAAACUCUGGUUUCGUCUACACUCAGUUCAAAAAAAGAGAAGAGGGAUAUACAUUCUGUAUGAGGAUGUGAAAUCAUGCCCUUGUGAAGAUGUGCAUGUGUUAUGGUCCAUGCUGGUGGAAUCAAAUGCAUCUUCCAUGUUGCCUGCAAAGCAAUGAAACAUUUCAGAGGCUAUAUAUCCACCCUUUGUGUAUAUAUAUAUAUAUAUAUAACAUAUUUAUGAUGUUUUUAUUUCUAUGAAACAAGGGUUUUUUUUUCUUGUUUUGAAUAUGUGCCAAAUACACCAGAAAUAUAUGAAUUAGUACUUUUUUUUUUAAAGAAAA